rnacentral:sRNA from 1 species
GUCCCCGGUGUCGGGGCAGGAGGAACGCGCGCGGCUGAGGCGAGGUCGCUCGGCGCAGCUGUUGCGGGGCCAUGGCGGGGACGGCGCUCAAGAGGCUGAUGGCCGAGUACAAACGGGCCCAGAAGACACCUGCUUUGAGUUUGGUGUUUUUCCUGCCAUCCUGAGUUUCCCACUUGAUUACCCGUUAAGUCCCCCAAAGAUGAGAUUUACCUGUGAGAUGUUUCAUCCCAACAUCUACCCUGAUGGGAGAGUCUGCAUUUCCAUCCUCCACGCGCCAGGCGACGACCCCAUGGGCUACGAGAGCAGCGCGGAGCGGUGGAGUCCUGUGCAGAGCGUGGAGAAGAUCCUGCUGUCGGUGGUGAGCAUGCUGGCAGAGCCCAAUGACGAAAGUGGAGCUAACGUGGAUGCGUCCAAAAUGUGGCGCGAUGACCGGGAGCAGUUCUAUAAGAUUGCCAAGCAGAUCGUCCAGAAGUCUCUGGGACUGUGAGACCUGGCCUCGCACAGGCGCAUACACACCGCCAAGCAGCUCAGCAUUCUCCCCCGGCACACUUAGUGACAGUGAUGCUCUGUGCUGGUACCAAACAAGGCAGACUUGCAAGAACCACGGCAUCUUUUUUUUUUUUCAAACCUUUCCUACUUCAAACAGGCUUCUCUUCUGAAAUGAUGACUUAAUGUCGAAUAUUGACAGCUUACUGCAGUUUUACAGUAUUCCUCACAAAGGGCUUCAGGUAGAUUAUCAGAGCUGUCAGCACUACCUCUCCCCGCUGAAACCAGCAGUUCAUGGCUUCCUGUGGAUUCCCUCCCUCCCUGGAGUGUUGAGGGGGUUGUACCUGCCAGACUUCCAGGGGACGAUGGAAUACCCAGAACGCUCCUUCUGAAGAAAUGGGGCCCUGUAGCUGCAGCACAGGGGAAGGGCCCAGCACCCUUUCUGGG